rnacentral:lncRNA from 1 species
CAUAUACAACAACAACAACAAACCCAGUGUAUACCUACAUAGUGAGGACUGGGGAGGGUAAAAUGUACGCAGUCCAUACCUCUAGCUCUAAAGAAGUAGAAAGGUUAUUUUCGAUAGACCCCCGGCUCGAGACACGGAAUACUGAACAAAUUCAUAGUAAAUCAUGGAACAAGAUGGCAUAACAUAAAUACGACACCCACAAGUAAUAGGAAAUAGAGAA